rnacentral:rRNA from 1 species
GAUGAACGCUAGCGGCAGGCUUAACACAUGCAAGUCGAGGGGCAGCACAGGUAGCAAUACUGGGUGGCGACCGGCGCAAGGGUGCGUAACGCGUGAGCAACAUGCCCGUAUCAGGGGGAUAAUCCAUGGAAACGUGGUCUAAUACCCCAUAGUAAGUUUUUGAGGCAUCUCAAGGAUUUUAAAGCUUUGGUGGAUACGGAUUGGCUCGCGUGACAUUAGCUGGAUGGUAGGGUAACGGCUUACCAUGGCUACGAUGUCUAGGGGUUCUGAGAGGAAGGUCCCCCACACUGGAACUGAGACACGGUCCAGACUCCUACGGGAGGCAGCAGUGAGGAAUAUUGGACAAUGGAUGGAAAUCUGAUCCAGCCAUGCCGCGUGCAGGAAGACGGCCCUAUGGGUUGUAAACUGCUUUUGUAUGGGAGCAAUAAGAUCUACGUGUAGAUUGAUGAGAGUACCAUACGAAUAAGCACCGGCUAACU